GUGGGGAAUUUUGGACAAUGGGCGCAAGCCUGAUCCAGCAAUGCCGCGUGCAGGAAGAAGGCCUUCGGGUUGUAAACUGCUUUUGUACGGAACGAAACGGUCCUGGUUAAUACCCGGGGCUAAUGACGGUACCGUAAGAAUAAGCACCGGCUAACUACGUGCCAGCAGCCGCGGUAAUACGUAGGGUGCAAGCGUUAAUCGGAAUUACUGGGCGUAAAGCGUGCGCAGGCGGUGCUGUAAGACAGGCGUGAAAUCCCCGGGCUUAACCUGGGAAUUGCGCUUGUGACUGCAAGGCUGGAGUGCGGCAGAGGGGGAUGGAAUUCCGCGUGUAGCAGUGAAAUGCGUAGAUAUGCGGAGGAACACCGAUGGCGAAGGCAAUCCCCUGGGCCUGCACUGACGCUCAUGCACGAAAGCGUGGGGAGCAAACAGGAUUAGAUACCCGUGUAGUCC
rnacentral:rRNA from 1 species